CCACCUUGAGUAGCUUUAUCUCUCUCUCACACAUUCUCAUAUACCUAUAUCUCUUUCAGCACCUCCCAUCAUCAUUACCUCUCAACUUAAUUCUUAUAAGGUUUGCAACACUGUACUGCAUUACAAAGAGCAAGGGAAGCAAGCAAAUGGGUCUGGAAUUCAUGGAAGAAUAUCGGGCAACUAUGCCAAAACAAGACAUUCGUUCACCUAAAAUAAUUACUACUACUACUACUACUAAUACUACCUUGACAGAAGAAAUAUCAUCAUCAGAUCUAGAGGAGGAGAAAGAGCAUAACUACUACAAUACACCCCCCAUAUCACCAUCGAGAACCCCCUUGGUUUGUCCACCAGCUCCAAAGAAACGUCAAGCAAGAAGAUCAAGUACAAUUAUAUCUCAAGGGAGGAGGUUCUUUCAAGUACCUGACGAUCUAGCUUCUAUAUUUCUUCUCCACUCCAAACCUUCCACAACAACAUCACACCAUCUUGCUACCUAAUUACAUUCUACAAUUCUUCAUCAACACCCAACGCAACGGUAUAUAGUUAUAAUAAAUUAAAUUAAGUCUUUUUUUUUUUUUUUAGUUAAUCAACCACUACCUCAGCCUCAUAUAUGUUACUAGUAUUAAUUUCUUCUCUUAUAUUUCUACUAUCUUUGUUGUUCGUCUUUUAUUUUAUUUUUUAUUUUAAUAUCUCAAAGUUUAUUGAUUGUCUCUCUUUUUAAAUAUAAGCUAGCUAAACAAUUUGUCCCUAUAUAGAAGUAGUUUAAGUCUAAUUGCAAAUCACUAAAUAUAUAUCUAUGGAUUAAAUAUGUUUUUAAUUAUAGUACUAACAAAUAUCGACCUUUAAAGUUUAGUUUAUAUGAUAAUUAAAAAUAUAAUUUUUAGAUCCUAUAAUAUUAUCAUGACUUGUUAGUAUAUGGUGUUAAACAUAUAUUUUUGAAUGUUUUUUUAAGACAUAUUUAUAAUAUCUUAAAAAGUUCUCCCACAAUAUAAAUUCAAAUUUUAAUUUUUAGAUCUAUAUAUUUUCUUACUUUUAUCUUGAAUUUGUGACGUUUUAAAAAUUCAUGUUUAAUUCAUCUCAAGUUAAAAAUUUCUAAAUUAUUGUGUAAUGACUUUUUAUAAUGUUUGUAAAAAUUAUUAAAAAAAAGUUUUAAAAUUGAAGGACAAUUAAACAUAUCGUUUCAGAAUGGACUAAAAGUUGUAUUUUUAUUUUACAUUGACUAAACUUAAAAUGUCGAUAUUUUAUAGGUAGUAAAAACAUAUUUUACUUUAUAUUUAUUAGAGUUAAAUAACUUUUUAGCUCCUAUAAAAUUUCAAAAUUUCGUUUUUAGUUUAUGUAAUUUGUUUUUACUAUUCUUAGUCUGUACAAAAUUAUAAUGCAAACUGUUUUUGUCUCUGUUAAAAUGAAACAUGUGCAAUUGUUCUCAAUUUGAAUUUUUUGAAUGAUAUUUUACAAUUGUGUUUGUCCCUGUUACACAAAAAUUUAUAAUUUUUUUAUUUAAGAUGAAUUAAAUAUGAUUUUUGGAAUUGAAAAUAUGGACCUAUAAUUCAAAUUUGAGAUUAUUUUAUGGAGGAACUCUUUAUAAUGAUACAAACAUGUCAAAAAAAAGUCAUUCAAUAUAUAUGUUAACGUUUCAACAUAGACUAAAAUUGAUUGAAGGAUAGUUUUGUAAAGAUUAAAAAUGUAAUUUUUUUACAUAAUAAAAUUUCAAAAAUUUCUAGAAACUACAAAUUUAUUUAACUUUUUAUUAAAUUAUAAUAAAAUACUAUAAUGUUGCAAAAUAAUUUUACAUUCUCAUUCAAUGUAAAACCAUAAUUUUGUUAUAUUAUACCACCACUUUCAAAAUAUUGUUAAACAAUAUUUGCUUAUCAUAACUUAAAGCAUUAAAUGUAAUUCUCUUUGAUACGCAUUAAUUCACUAAAUAUUAUAGCUUGUCAUAAUGUAUAAUCUAUUUUAUUUCGUUAGACGUAAUCUAUUGUCAUUUUUCGAGUUUUUUAAAUAUUAAAAAAAUGAUAAAAUAUAUAAUGAUGAUAUAAAUUAAUUCAGAAGUUGUAAAUUAAUGGUACAUGAUCCAUCACCAUAACAAUUAUUUAUUUAAUUAGUUACUCUUACUUAAUAUUAUAUACUUAUGUCUCGUUUGUUUAGUUAAGGAAAUGUUAUAAAUAAGAGAAAGAAAAUAUUAAUUUUAUUAAUUUAUUUUAUUAAUACGAGACUAAUGCAUUUUCUUGAUCAUAGAUGUAAAAUAAAAAAAUAAUAACUUAAGAAUUAUUAAUACAAUAUUAUUAUAGAGCACUAAAAAAAUAAUAUUAAAAAUAAAAAAUGCACACUUUAAUGUCACUGUUAUUAUGGCAUUAUGAAAGUGCCGUAAAGAAUAUUAUCAAGUACUAUCUCCUGAAUAAUGAAUUCUUGAUAAAUAUUUAGGAGGUAGUACACCCUUUUAAUUUGAUUGCUAUAAGAAGUGUUAGGAUCAUGAGAUCGUCCUCUAUACAAAGAAGCUUUAAUUAAUUAGCUAUGAAAUUUGAGUAGGUUUAUUAGCCAUUUAUGGAGUGGUGGAUGGGUGAUGAUAUAGUGUAAGUAACAGAAAUCCAUGGUGUACUUUUGUCCAUUUAAGAAACUCCAACAAAGUGAAGUGAAUGGGUCAGAGAACCUACAAUAAUAACUCCAAAAGGUUGUGCUUUGGCCUUUUUCUAUAUACCUUACCGGUUAGUUACCUCCUUUAUAAUAACCGUUUUUUUAAUCUAACUUAGCCUUUCGUUCUUUGGAAAGAACAGAGGAACAAAAGGAAAAUAAUGUCCUAUAGCAGCUACUUGGUAUAUUCACAAAACACAAUAUAAUUUUACUUGUAGGUUUAUUUAUAUAUAUGUUUUUUUUUAAUUAAUCAUUAUAUUCCAUAUUAAAAAUAUAUGUUAGAAUAUCUUAUUUUUUAAUCACAUGAUAAAUAAUUUUUAAAAUCGCAUCCGACAAUCUAUAAUUUUUUUUAAUAGAAAAUCGCUUGCGACUAUUUAUAAACUUUAAUUUUAUGUUUAUUUUUUAGUAGAUGGUUGCAUGUUAAUAUGCAACCUCCUAUUAGAAGAAAAAAAUUAUCCUUCAAAUAGUCACAAGACGGAGAUGCGAUUUCUUGAAAGUCCAAAAAAAUUGGAUAUUUUAGUAUAUAAAUUUUAAUAUAAGAUAUAUUAAUUAAUUUAAAAAAAAGAUAUAAUAAUAAAAAAGGGAAUUCAAUUCUCUACAUGUAAUUAUUCUAUAAUUUUGAUUAUAUAAUAUGCAAAUAUAACUUGAAUUAAAAAAAAAUAUUCCUAAGAAAUUUAAAUGCAUUAUUCUUAUUAUCGAUCUCAUAAAAAAUAUAAAUAUCCUUUCAAAGUUGGAAAUUGUUCCCUUCCAAGUAAAAGAGUCAUUUGAAAAAACAAAUUUAUGUUGAUUGAAUAUAUUUUAGAAUAUAAUAUAUAGUUAAAUAGUAUAAAAUUAAAUUGGAUUUACUUAUAUUUGAGAACAAUAAAGAAGGUAUUUUUUUGCUUUAUAAAUAUUCUAAUAAGGAGUAGUAUAUAUACUUUCUUCUAAAAUAUAUGUCACUAUAACGAAUUUGAAUCUCCUCUUGUACUUCUAUCUUGUGUAAUCUCUCUUGCGUUAUUGUAAGUUGUUGAUUAGGCUCUGUUUAGUAAAAUAUAAUAGAUUGAAGAUAUAACUAACUAAUAGCUAAUAAACUUAUGACUCUUUUGUUUUUGUACAAACUUAUGACCUUUUAAUUAUUAAUCUUUUUGUUACUAUACGUCCUUGAACUAUUUCUGAUAUAACGAAAUACCAAUUCAAUUUAGAAAUUUUAGGACAUGCUUGGUCGUUAGUUAUUAUUAGAGCUCAUUUAUUUUCUAACAACAUUUUCAAUUUUUAUUUUAUAUGUGAGUGGUUGAAAAGACACUUGGUUGCAUUUUCUUUUUUAAGUGUGAUAGAAAGAAGAUAAAAGUUAAAUAAUGCAUUUCUAAUAUAUCACUCAAAUAAUGUCUUUUUUUCUUCUUCUUAGUUUCAAAUAUAUUCAAUCUACUUUAAAUUGUUUUCAAAAAUUGUCAUAAUUCAUUCUCUAAUAUAUUUUAUCAAAUAAAAAUGGAACACAUAAAUUAACCAAAGUAAAUGUGCCCUAAAUUUUUUGCUUUUAAUAAAAAAAAGUUUUAUUUUAAUUAAACAUAUAUGUUUCAAUGCUUGUAAAAAGAAACAUUUGAUUUAUUUUAGAAACAUAAUUUUUUUCCGCAUUAUAAGUUUUAGAAACAUAAUUGAGUAACAUCUUAAGAAAUUUUACCAAACUUUUGUACUUGAUUUGUUUUAAGGAAGCCAAUGUAAUGAACUUUAGGCUCUCCAAUAGUUUCGCAGAGUAUCACCAUAAGUUAAAGGACUAACUAUGAGAUUAAUCUAUUAUUCGAUCGAAUAUUAAAAUCGCUACUUAAAAUUAUUUGCAUCUUUUUAACAGUGCGUGUUAUACGGAGAUCUAACUAUGACAUUUGCAUAAAAGUCAGGACCACUUAACUAAUUGAACUACGCUUAUUGAGUUAUACUUAAUUUUUUUUUUACUCGUGCUUAAAAAUCAUUGUGAUCAGAAAUAUAAGAAUGAUACUGAAUUUCUGGAUUAUUUGGUUUGUCAUGGGAUAUAUGAUCAACAACUUUUUUACUAUCUGCUUGAAAGAUGACAUUCCCAAGACCAAAAAGUUAUUAUCCAAUUAAGAGAUUGCAAUAUUCCCUACGCUUCACAUUUAGAUAAUCUAUCCUUGCCAUAACAAAGUAACCUCGGUGAUAUUGAACACGCAUACCUAUUCCUAAACAAUAUUGUUGUUGGGAAAUUGCACCAUUGACAUUGCACUUAAGGGAUCCAAUUGGAAGAAGUUCCCAACAACAAAAAGAUGAAGGUUGAGUCUUGUCCAACUUGUUAGCAUUAUUCCAUGAAUGUAAGAAGCCAUUAGCUCUCCUUUGUCAUUUCGGUGUUUUGAUCUCACAUAGCUUGUUGUUUCUCCUUUUUCCAAAUACUUCGUACAAUUAUAGUCAACAAAUUAGACAUUUGAUUGCCAUCAAAAUUAAUCCAAAUCUGCAACAACACAUCAUCAAGACCCUCAAGUGAGGAUGUUAGUUGUUGAAAAAUCGAACACGGCGAUGAUUGCUCUCAAGAUCCAACACUUUCACUUCUAUAUCUUGAUCACAACAAACACAAAAUAGGGAAAUGAAUAGCUUUUUACUCAAAUUAAUUCUGAAGUCUCCUCAUAAAUGAUUUGACUUUGGAUGAGAUAGUUAGACUCAAUAAUCCAAGUCAAUCAUCCACAUUUUACAACUGCACGACUCUUCUCUUUCUUCUCUUCGACCAUUCAAGAUAAACUAUCUUUUAUUCAUAAUCUCCUUUUGCAUAUUUUUAUUUAUUUAUUUUAUCUAAAUAAGUAAUUUUUAAAUAUAUUUGAUUUUUAUUUUUAUUUUUUCUUGACAUUUUUGUUUAAGUGUGUUAGAAUAGUCCGGUUACAAUCAAUGUGUUUAUUUUAUCUCAAGUUUACCAAUGUUGAUAAAACUGUUGUUUUAUUCAAUAACAAUGAUAAGAUAUCUAUCUCUCAAUUUUAAGAAAUAACAAUUUAUUUUCUUAAAUUACGUUAAAAAAUAAGGUGAAAAAAUGACAAUCAAAUUAGUUAUUUGUUGAAAACAUCUUUUAAAAAUAUCAAUCAAAUUAAUAAAAAAGUUAUUUUUUUUAGUUUAAAAGUCUAGGAUUGAGAUUUGAAUUUGAAAUCACACUCAACUAUAUAUUACAUUAAAGAUUUAAAUUUUAACUUAAAUAUAUAUUACAUUAAAAUAAGAAAAAAAAUAUAUGGAUUAUCAACAACAAAAAUAAGUUUACAUUGAUAUUCAAUAAAAAAAAAAUAUAAUAUGUGUAAUCAUUUUUAUAAUACAAAUGUUAAAUAGGAGCACAUAGUAAGAUAAUUGGUUCACAUUAAAUUAUCUGUAUAAAAUUCUCUCCAUUCGUAUUUAUAAACACAAAUGAGUUAAAGAAAGUGAAAGAAUUUCAUCUAAUAUUUAUAAAAAACGAAAUUAUUAAUAUUUAUGCAAAGUUAUUAAACUCUUUUUAUCUUACACAAAAUCAUUAAACUCUUAAAACAAACAUAAAACCUUUAAUUAAGGAACAGAAUGUUUUUUCAAGAAGAAAAAUGGCCAGUUUACUAAAAUUCUUACUAAUUCAUUCAUAAAAGCUUUCACAAGUAGCUUUUCUAACUCUGCAUUUCUCGAGCGACGAAAAUCUCAGAGGAACUCAACAUGAAGCAAAAUAGCCACCGUAAAGAUAGGGCUACAAAUCUGAAAUCGCGGCACCACUCGCCACGGCGAGAACGACCAGACAACGCACCAAAUCAUCACCGGUUGACAGCAACAUUGCACCACCGCACCGCGACUCUCAAGGUGCGUUGUUCUUAUGACUGCCGUGUACACCGAAAUUACUACUAUUAUCGUAAAUUCAUGUAUGGAGUAACUUUUUUUGUUGCUAUUUUGAAAGUCCUGAUUGCAAUUUGAACAUUUGAUCUCUAUAAUUAAACCUAUUACACAUUGAUCAUUAUCAUGAGAAUCAGACUUUGAAAUAAUUACUCUACAGUAUUUCAUUUAUCGUAUAUAUACACAAAAUUAAAGUGCAAAAAAACAAGUAAUCAAUCAUAGAUUGUUACAUUACAAACUCCACGAACAUAUGAGGAAGAAUCAAUGAAAAUUUGGACAUGAAUUAGGGAUCUGUUGGAUUAUUAAACCCUAGGGACGACCUAGUUUUAGGGUGUUCAUAAAGCUAAUUGUCACAAAUUCACCAUUGAGCAGAUUCCCUAAGGUCUCAGGCUUCACCCUAAAUCCAGAAAUGUUCACAUGUACGUUUAACUAUAAGCUCUUUCUAGUGUAGAAAAUCUAUCACCUGCAAAAGGAUAGAGUGUUAAUAAUGGUAUCACUAACCACCAUCUAGCCUUCCAUGUUGUUGAACUACCCUAGAAGUAUUAGUCUUUUUAAUGGUAUCAGCUGGUUUUUCAUUCGCUGCUUCAAUCUGUUCCAAUUUUUCAAGAACUUCCUUCAUUGAUGGCCUAACUUUGGGCUCUGUUUGGAUGCAUUUGAGAGCAAGUUGAGCUAGUUGUGAUGCUAAGUUGGGUGGAUACUUACCUUCCAACCUUGCAUCCAUGUUGCUUCUCAAUUUCCCUCUGUUUAAUAGGUUUGAUUUGAGCCAAUCACAUAAGGAAUUUGUCUGACGAAGGCGUGUUAUAUCGUUUAUUGACUUACCCGUUAGUAUCUCCAACAAAACAAUCCCAAAUCCAUAUACAUCACUUUUCACAUACAAAUGACCUAUUUGAUUGAUGUGGGACGAUUAAUUUACUGUCUCACAACAUUUUCAAAACAUGUUUAAGAAGAGGGAAUUUGCGGUUUACCUGUGCGAAUGUACUCUGGAGCAGCAUAGCCGCAUGUUCCCACUACCUGUGUUGAUACAUGAGUGUGAUCAUCAGAAGGAACAGAUCUGGCCAAGCCAAAGUCUGAUAACUUGGAUGUGUAUGCCUAUUACAAAACAAAAGAUUAGAUAUAUUUUCUUCCAUUACCAUGAAUUCUUCAAUAGCAUGCAUCUUAAAUAUAGAAAUGACUUCUGUCUUCUUUUAUUUCUCAAUAUAUGAGGAAAAUGUGCUCAUGGGGUACUCAAUACCCAAAAGAUGAAAUGAAACUUACCUUGUCAAGUAGUAUAUUUGAGGGCUUAAAAUCUCUGUAUAUAAUUUUCUUCUCUAAGGAGUGCAGGAAAUUUAGUCCCCUAGCUGCUCCUAUCAUCACUUUCAACCUUCUGUCCCAUGAAAGUGGCCGAACAUUUGAACCUCCUGCAGGCAUAAAAUAACAACAGGAAAGUACAGACACAAAGAAAGAGAGAAAAAUGGUAGUUUUGUGGAUGUCAUAGUAAAGUAUUCACUAUUCAACAAUGUUAUCAGCACUUACUUCCAAACAGGUGGUUAUCCAAGCUGCCACGGUGCAUAAAUUCAUACACCAAAAAUAGCUCGCCAUCCUCACGCCCAAAUCCCAACAGCUUUACAAGGUUGGGGUGAGAAAGCCUUCCUAAGAAAUUCACCUCUGACUGUACCCAAAAGAAGAAGAAACAUCAAUAUAAAUAGAAGCCAUCACAUGCCAACAAAAAAUGUGAAUGUGAUGAUCUUCUAAUUUUGAAAGUUUUACUCAUGCUGUAGUUAUGCCCAUACCUGCCAUUCUGCAACUCCUUGCCUGCUUUCAGAAUUCAAUUUCUUGAUGGCAAUAGUCAAACCCUCACCUCUUUUUGAUCCCGAACUCUUCUUAAUCAAACCCUUGAAUACUCUACCGAACCCACCCUCUCCUAACACACUGUCAAGACGGAAAUUUUUAGUGGCUUCCUUCAGUUCUGCCAAAGUAAAAACUUUCAAGUUUGCCGCAUCCAAGAUCUGCCCAUAAGGGAACUCCUCAUCAUCUCUUACUCGAGAGGCCUGACUAUUCUCAGAGCCCCAAAAGGAUGUACUUGUAUUAUUGCCUGUUGAGUGAUUAUUACUACUACUAAAUAGUCUGCUAUUUCUUCCAGAGUUGCUGCUACGCCCAAGAGAUGUGGAAUUGCCAUUCUGUAUCAAUCUCAAGUUGCUGAGACCAGCAGAUAACCGAAUACUUCUCCCUAGGACAUUGCAACAGCAAGAGAAACACAGUUUGUCAUGUGUUAGAAGAGCGAAUUUGGUUCUCAAGAAAAUAGAUAAAUAAAUGCACACAAGAACAGACCAUCGAAUAACUGACUACUCCCUGGGACAUUGCAACAGCAAGAGAAACACAGUUUUGCGACUUUUAAAUUUUUUUAUUUUUCAAAAUUUUAAGAGUAAAAAAAUUAAAAAUUAAAAUAAUUUAUUUAUUUAAAAAAAAAAAUUAUCCCUAUUUAUUUUAAAAAUAAAUGUAAAUUUCACGUGACCAUAAUUUUUUUCAUCAUCAUUUACACAUCACCAAAUUGAGAAGAGGAUCAAAUGUAAACAAAAAAAUACAGGGAUCUAAUUUUGUCUACAUUUCCAUCAACAGAUUGGUUGUUGCAGUUUUUUUACUAUGCAAUUAGUACGGUUACAACACGAUACAAUGUUAAAAUACUACAGUCAAAUUACAAGUUUACCGCUGCGAGGAACUUCGCCUUCCACAUCCCCAACCUUCCUAGUCGAAACCUAACAUAUGAAUGGGUCAAAUCUAAAGGUGAGACACUCUUGCUUCACUACACCCGAGCAUCUGAAUGCUUAUAGUGAAUGUGAGUCAUACUCAAAAUUACACAAUAAAUUAUGUUAAGAGGUUGAAGUGCCAAACAUGUUCAGGAUGUACUAAUAUAUAAUGAACUGCUGCUAAUAGCAAGGAGUGUCUUCUAAGUUUUAAAUUACAUGGUCAAAGAAUUGAGGAUUGAUUCCCUGCUUUGAUCCUCGAUGUUUGAAUUGUUAACAGGUGCUUAUGCAAACAACUCAUUUGGCUUUCUCUGUUUGACUCUCGAAAUUAUAUUAAAAAAUUGGCGAAAUUGAAAUGAAACUUUAAAAGUGAAAAUCACAAAAUUAACUGUAUGUUUCUAUAUGACAAGUAAGGUCAUGAAAAGUAGAAGGCCAGCAAGGCCAAAAUAUGUUCACUCGAUACCUCCUCAAGUCAAGAAUAUGAGAUAUGCAACACAUGAUGAAGUUCUUUGAAAUUGUAAAAAGAUAAAUUUUAAAACACAUGUUCACUCAAUACCUCCAUAAUUCAUUUUUUGAAAUUGUAAAAAGGAAAAAAUUUCUUUCAAAACUUAUGUUUCAAGAUAUUCAUCAGUAUAACCCUAAAAGAAAGGGCCAAGUGUUGUGGACACGAUGGUUUACCUGAUAGAUUGUUGGUUUCAGAGGCAGGGGCGGGAUUGUCGUCUGGUUGAAGACUCAAACAGUUACAGUUCCCCAUGAAGUUGUUUGUUGUUCCUGUUCUUUCCUUAAACAAUGCUAUUGCUAGCAGCCCAUGCUAGCAGAAAACUAAAG
rnacentral:lncRNA from 1 species